rnacentral:tRNA from 1 species
GCUCACGUGGUGGAAUGGUAGACACGCAGCCUUGAGGUGGCUGUGCUUAUAUUUUCAAGCGUGCUGGUUCAACUCCAGUCGUGAGCA